UACAGAGGUCCCAAGCGCUGUUCGGAUUCACUGGGCGUAAAGGGUGCGUAGGUGGUUGGGUAAGUCUGAUGUGAAAUCUCCGGGCUCAACCCGGAAAUGGCAUUGGAUACUAUCCAGCUGGAGGGUCGGAGGGGGGACUGGAAUUCUUGGUGUAGCAGUGAAAUGCGUAGAUAUCAAGAGGAACACCAGUGGCGAAGGCGAGUCCCUGGACGACUCCUGACACUGAGGCACGAAAGCUAGGGGAGCAAACAGG
rnacentral:rRNA from 1 species